rnacentral:piRNA from 1 species
UCUCCAUGGCUUGCACAGUCGCUGGUGUGU